GCGCCAUUUCCGAAAAUAGGCGCUGCCCUCCGAAGGCAGAGGUCACAGGUUCGAAUCCUGUCGGGUGCG
rnacentral:tRNA from 1 species